GACGAACGCUGGCGGCGUGCUUAACACAUGCAAGUCGAACGGAAAGGCCCUGCUUUUGUGGGGUGCUCGAGUGGCGAACGGGUGAGUAACACGUGAGUAACCUGCCCUUGACUUUGGGAUAACUUCAGGAAACUGGGGCUAAUACCGGAUAGGAGCUCCUGCUGAAUGGUGGGGGUUGGAAAGUUUCGGCGGUUGGGGAUGGACUCGCGGCUUAUCAGCUUGUUGGUGGGGUAGUGGCUUACCAAGGCUUUGACGGGUAGCCGGCCUGAGAGGGUGACCGGCCACAUUGGGACUGAGAUACGGCCCAGACUCCUACGGGAGGCAGCAGUGGGGAAUAUUGCACAAUGGGCGGAAGCCUGAUGCAGCAACUCCGCGUGCGGGAUGACGGCCUUCGGGUUGUAAACCGCUUUCGCCUGUGACGAAGCGUGAGUGACGGUAAUGGGUAAAGAAGCACCGGCUAACUACGUG
rnacentral:rRNA from 1 species